rnacentral:rRNA from 1 species
CAAUAGCGUAUAUUUAAGUUGUUGCAGUUAAAAAGCUCGUAGUUGGAUUUCGGAUGGGACUUGCCGGUCCGUCGUUUCGAUGUGCACUGGCCAGUCCUAUCUUGUUGUCGGGGACUAGCUCCUGGGCUUCACUGUCCGGGACUAGGAGCUGACGAGGUUACUUUGAGUAAAUUAGAGUGUUCAAAGCAAGCCUACGCUCUGAAUACAUUAGCAUGGGAUAACACGAUAGGACUCUGGCUUAUCUUGUUGGUCUGUGAGACCAGAGUAAUGAUUAAGAGGGACAGUCGGGGGCAUUCGUAUUUCAUUGUCAGAGGUGAAAUUCUUGGAUUUAUGAAAGACGAACUUCUGCGAAAGCAUUUGUCAAGGAUGUUUUCAUUAA